GGGGUUGGAGCAUCCCUAGCAGUAAGGCACAGGAAGAAGGAUCAGGGAAGGAAAAAGAUGUCACAAAAGGAACCCCUGAGAAUGAAGCUGCCCAAGGAGCCAGUUAGGUUCUGUGUUCCCGCCUUCCCUCUGGGCAAAGCCAGUCUCUACAACAUUCAGGAGUCAGCUGAGGAUAGGGAAGGGUAAGAAUCAGACUCAUAGUCCAUUUGAUCUGUUCAAAGCUGCCUUUCCCACCUGCCGGAAUUCGUUCUGAUUUGAAAUCACUGGAGGCAUGCAGAAUGAAUGAAUGAAUGGAUGGAUGAAUGAAUGAAUGGAUACAGAAUGAGGAAGGGACUUCAAAUGCAAGUUAGAUUUGUGAACUCAUCAUCAUAGCCAAUAUGUAGAUUUUUACGUAGCAUUUUGAAUUCCAACCUUCUGUCUUCUUUUUCACACCACUCCCUUGCUGCAGAAUUCCCUGCUAGAAUGUGAAAAUGCUAUCAAACCAUAGAACAAGAGAUGGGAGCCCCAAACCGAAAGGCAGAGUCUCAACUCUGGGCAUCGGGAUGCUUGCUAGGACUCUCCUGCUAACUCUGCCUCAGAAGGUCAUGGGUUUCUCUUUGGUGUUUCCAGCCGCCACAGUCCUCAAACAGACUUUCAAUUUUGUUAUAAUGGAUAUAAUUUUAUGUACAUAUACUACUAGAAUCUUGUACAGAAUCUUUAUUUCUACCGUGUGCUUGUUUGGCAAGGAAAGUUCUCUUAAUUUUGGUUACUAACACUGCUGCCUGUAAGCUCCAUGGCUUCAUUUCUUAUUUGCUCUCACCGAUGAUCACUCUCUGUGCUGACGCCCUGCAAUGGACUAUGUAUGCAAGACCGAGCAAUAGACAGAGGUGCCUUGGGUCAGAGUAUUCUGACCACACAGACUACCCAGUUGGACAGCUUCAUCGGACCCUUCCACACGUGCCCACCCUGCCCAAAGCUGAACAGCUUCUGCAUGAAGAGUAAUGUAUCAAUUCUCCUGUCCAGACUAUGACAGCUGAACAUCCUGGUUCUGUAAGCUAUGCCUACCCAAACGCUUUGUCUCUCGCAGGGUUGUUGACCUCUCCUCUCUGGUAAGGCAAAGCUUGGCCUUCUUGGUGAUCAAAGGAACCCAGUGGUACAUAAACCUCAGUUUAUGUCGGGCCGAGAAAGUGAGUGGGAGAGGCUAUAGUUCAGCCCUUCUUCUCCUAGCUAAUGUAAAGCACCCCUCACCGUAUGCUAGCUCUGUCUCCCUGCUCUCAUUUUUCACUUCAACGAGCUGAUAGAAAUCUACAGUGUUAGCGAACUGUUGAUUAUGGAGAAAGGGUGGUGAUUCCUUCUGGCCCAGAGCUGCAGCCUCCGUGGCCAGACUCCUUAAAUAAAGCCCUCCACUCUACCCCUGCCCCAGUCGGAAUCAUCUUAUUAGAACACUGGAUAAGUAUACUCGGAACACAUUCCCCAACUCAGAAAGUUCUAGAGGGUCUGUGGUCUUGGCCAAUUGACCUUUGUGUAUGUUAUGUGGCUACUGAGCUACCUUUUCUGUACACAGUAGGCAUUCACAAUUGCAGACCGACAGGUGACAUACAGUAGGAAAGAGGGGGUGCUUCUGAAACAGUCCUGGGAGCGAUGGCUGAGUCCAGGUUACAGAGCCUGCCCGCCCCCACCCCCCCCACCCUUAGAAUGUUAUUUAGACCAAGUUUAGCUUUUAGAGUCCAGGUCUGGUUAACUGCCAGGGUAGCAAAGAGUUGCAUGCACCAAUAUAAACAGGAGUCAACAAUGCAUUAUUAAUCGAAGAUCGAAUUUCACAUUUUAAGGAUGAAAUAGUUGUGUUUAGGCUGCAUAGAAGGUAUGGUGGGGAAUGGCUUAAGUUAAUGGCUGGUAUAAAAGUUUUGGCCAUAAUAUCUUAACACCUCUCAUCUGCUCGAAAUAUGGAACAGUAUCCUAAGACCUCAGCCACUGGGAGUCUUGUUCACUACAAGACAGAGCCAAACUUCACACAAUUUCGAAGCAGUCCACAACUAGACAGGAUUGUGUCUGCAAACUCUCUUGUCUUCACAGAUUCUAAUAAAGUGAAAUUCUGAAUUCUG
ensembl:lncRNA